GUGGGGAAUAUUGGACAAUGGGCGAAAGCCUGAUCCAGCCAUGCCGCGUGUGUGAAGAAGGUCUUCGGAUUGUAAAGCACUUUAAGUUGGGAGGAAGGGCAUUAACCUAAUACGUUAGUGUUUUGACGUUACCGACAGAAUAAGCACCGGCUAACUUCGUGCCAGCAGCCGCGGUAAUACGAAGGGUGCAAGCGUUAAUCGGAAUUACUGGGCGUAAAGCGCGCGUAGGUGGUUCGUUAAGUUGGAUGUGAAAGCCCCGGGCUCAACCUGGGAACUGCAUCCAAAACUGGCGAGAUAGAGUACGGUAGAAGGGGGUGGAAUUUCCGGUGUAGCGGUGAAAUGCGUAGAUAUAGGAAGGAACACCAGUGGCGAAGGCGACCACCUGGACUGAUACUGACACUGAGGUGCGAAAGCGUGGGGAGCAAACAGGAUUAGAUACCCCUGUAGUCC
rnacentral:rRNA from 1 species